AGUCGAGCGGCAGCGCGGGGCAACCUGGCGGCGAGCGGCGAACGGGUGAGUAAUACAUCGGAACGUGCCCAAGUGUGGGGGAUAGCCCGGCGAAAGCCGGAUUAAUACCGCAUACGAUCUAAGGAUGAAAGCGGGGGAUCGCAAGACCUCGCGCACUUGGAGCGGCUGAUGGCAGAUUAGGUAGUUGGUGGGGUAAAGGCCUACCAAGCCUACGAUCUGUAGCUGGUCUGAGAGGACGACCAGCCACACUGGGACUGAGACACGGCCCAGACUCCUACGGGAGGCAGCAGUGGGGAAUUUUGGACAAUGGGCGAAAGCCUGAUCCAGCCAUUCCGCGUGCAGGAUGAAGGCCCUCGGGUUGUAAACUGCUUUUGUACAGAACGAAAAGGCUCUGGUUAAUACCUGGGGCUCAUGACGGUACUGUAAGAAUAAGCACCGGCUAACUACGUGCCAGCAGCCGCGGUAAUACGUAGGGUGCAAGCGUUAAUCGGAAUUACUGGGCGUAAAGCGUGCGCAGGCGGUUUUGUAAGACAGAGGUGAAAUCCCCGGGCUCAACCUGGGAACUGCCUUUGUGACUGCAAGGCUGGAGUACGGCAGAGGGGGAUGGAAUUCCGCGUGUAGCAGUGA
rnacentral:rRNA from 1 species